rnacentral:misc_RNA from 1 species
ACUUAUUUAGCUAAUUGCUCAGACUGCAAUCUUCAGACAGCGUUCAAUGGUGUCUUCGGCGGGCGCGGGCCAGAGGGCAGAAGCCCCCCGGCGGCCGUGAGGCGGGCCCGCCGAAGCAACAAGGUACGAUAAACACGGGUGGGAGGUUGGACCCAGAGGGCCCUCACUCGGUAAUGAUCCUUCCGCAGGUUCACCUACGGAAACCUUGUUACGACUUUUACUUCCUCUAAAUGACCAAGA